GUGGCGGACGGGUGCGUAACACGUAAGCAACGUGUCCGAGGGUGGGGAAUAGCCGGCCUAACGGCCGGGUAAUACCGCAUGCAGUGCGGGGGGGCAUCUCCCUGUACGAAAGCCGGGGCAACCUGGCGCCCGCGGAGCGGCUUGCGGCCUAUCAGCUAGUUGGUGAGGUAACGGCUCACCAAGGCGACGACGGGUAGCUGGUCUGAGAGGAUGGCCAGCCACAUUGGGACUGAGACACGGCCCAGACUCCUACGGGAGGCAGCAGUGGGGAAUAUUGCGCAAUGGGCGAAUGCCUGACGCAGCGACGCCGCGUGUGGGAUGAAGGUCUUCGGAUCGUAAACCACUGUCAGAGGGGACGAAGGCCCGGGGUUAACUGCCACCGGGAUUGACGGUACCCUUGGAGGAAGCACCGGCUAACUCUGUGCCAGCAGCCGCGGUAAUACAGAGGGUGCGAGCGUUGUCCGGAAUCACUGGGCGUAAAGGGCGUGUAGGUGGCUGCAUAAGCCGCGUGUGAAAUCCCGGGGCUCAACCCCGGAAUGGCACGCGGGACUGUACGGCUAGAGCAUGGUAGAGGCGAGUGGAAUUCCUGGUGUAGCGGUGGAAUGCGUAGAGAUCAGGAAGAACACCGGUGGCGAAAGCGGCUCGCUGGGGCCAUUUGCUGACACUGAGCGCGAAAGCGUGGGGGAGCAAACAGGGAUUUAGUACCCCUGGUAAGCCCACGCUGUAAAACGAUGGGGCAACUAGGGCGUUCGUGG
rnacentral:rRNA from 1 species